rnacentral:rRNA from 1 species
UACGGGGGGGGCAAGCGUUGUUCGGAAUUACUGGGCGUAAAGGGCUCGUAGGCGGCCAACUAAGUCGGACGUGAAAUCCCUCGGCUUAACCGGGGAACUGCGUCCGAUACUGGAUGGCUUGAGAUUGGGAGAGGGAUGCGGAAUUCCAGGUGUAGCGGUGAAAUGCGUAGAUAUCUGGAGGAACACCGGUGGCGAAGGCGGCAUCCUGGACCAAUUCUGACGCUGAGUGAGCGAAAGCCAGGGGAGCAAACGGG